UAAAGGGUGAUCGUUUGGUUGAUUCCCUGGAAUAAAAUCCGAACUCCUCAAAACUUUUGAAAAAAAAGAGGAAAGGCAAACAUUGAAAUUUUAAAUAAGAAAAACGGCACUUUAUUUUGAAAAAGGAUUUUGAAAAAAAUAGAAGUUGAAAUUUGAUCACACACUUUUGAACAUAAAUUGGGGCACAUUUAGGGAGAUAAUAAAUAAUGGAAAGACAAUUGUUUAGAUUGAUCACUCUGGUAGGAAUCGUUUAUAUUCCUCAAAAUUCCCUUGGUCAGGCAACUAUCACCUAAUGGCGUUAAACAAAAUUGGCUGGGUCAAUUCACCUUUCCUCAGGUUUGUUGCAUAAUAUCUUGGACACAAUUCAUGGGUUAUGUUAUGUCAAUAAGGCAAGCAUGAGAUUAUGCUACUAGUACUGUUUGAUCAUUCCCUUGUGGAAGGAGUGGUAUUUUGAUAGUAAUAACUGAUGUACCCUUUUGUGACCAAAUUUACCUUUUGCAUAUAGAGAGCAUUAGCACCUUCCAAACUAGAAUAGGAUACCCUCCUUUCUAGGAUUGUAUUAUUGCCUCUUUGGAUGAUUUAGUAAAUCCUCGGUCUGAUAUCUAAAUUAGGACAGGGCAACCCUACCCCCCCUCCCCCAAUAAACAU